UCUGAGCAUGAACCGCUUGUUAUCGGGAGUACCAGCUUCGGAGCCGAAGCAGCUCCAACUUGAUUGUUGAACGAAGCCAUCAGCUCAAAAAAGUGGAAGUGAGUUCACCCCACGGUGGGCGCCAAUGUUGGGGACUUGUUCUCAAAUGCUAUGAAUUAAGAACAAGGCAACAUAAAAUGUUAAAUAUUAAUGCCCUUCGUCCGCUGAAGCAUUAUCUCCCCAAGGAUUUAAUGAGCUUCGGACGAAGGCCAUGAGCAAAAUACCACGAAGGUCACACCUUCGUGAUCAGACUUGUAAAACAAUAUGAAAUAAAAUAUAAAACAUGAAACAUUAUAGAAAGAUAUACUUAAAAUAGAUAACAUUAUUCACAUAUUUUAUUAUAUGAACCCAAAUAUUAAAACAUAAUAUUUAGGUACAUGUAUACCUUUGUCUUGGCAGAAAGCAAUAAUUCCAGCGUAAUGUGCCAGUUGUUACAAGAUUGCGUGAAUAGUACAAGGGUACUGUUCAUCUAUUUAUAAGCACAGGACACAGCCUAUGUAAAAUUACAUUUAUGCCCUUUACAAUCGACUACAAUAAUGACACAAAACAUCAUGGGUCUUUAAGUCAUUUCAUCUUUAAGUCGGUUCACCCCUUCGUCUUGAGAUCUGUCAUUGUGACGAAGCUUUAUAGGUGAUAGCUUCGGCGCUGCUUCUGAUAGAAUCUGCCGAAGGUGUUUUCUUCCUUUAGGAUCUUCGGCUACGAAGCAUACCCCCAACAAGGCCUUCGUUCACGUCGCAGUCUGAAUUCGUUGUUAUAACAAAUUAAUACUGCGAGGGGCUACUGUUGGGGGCCUUCGUCUUAUGAAGGUCCUCAAAAACAUGACUAACAAUGUUUCCCAAGUGUAAUAUAUGAACAGAAACCUUCGGACUCGGAAUAAAGCUGUAUACAAUAUGUAAAGCAUGGUCGGGACGAAGGUUGAACAAGUCCCGAAGCUACGCGCAAGGAAGCUUCGGUUCAACGGCAGAGAAAGGAACCGACUUAAAGGGGAAAAGGCUAUCUAGUCCUCGUUGGAUUGUCAUUAAGUCAAUAGUAAACAUAAAGGGCAUGAUUGUAAUUUUACACAGGCUGCGCCCUGUGCCUAUAAAUAGAUGAACAGUACCUCCAUACUGUUCACGCUGACUUAUAUUCGUUCGUGCGUCACGCUUGGACUUUAACCUUCUGUCAAGCCGAAGGUACUCAUGUAAUUCAAUAUUGUUCUUGUUUAUCCAUGAUGAUACAAUAAAGUUACAUUGAUGAUGUUAUAUGAUUAUUCAUAUUAUCUUUCAUAUUUCAUAUGCUUCUUCUUUCAUUAACAUAUACUAUGAAGAUGAAGGAGGUACUUUCUUCAUGGCCUUCGUCUGAAGAUCAUUAUGUCCUAAGGGAGAUAAUGCUUCGAAUGACGAAGGGUAUUAACCUUUAACAUUUUGUGUUGCCUUGUUCUUAACUCAUAGUAUUUGAGAACAAGUCCCCAACAGAUUGUGACAUGGAUUUAAUUCCAAUCAAUGCUAAUCCAGAGCUGGAUUGGUGUAAAUGAACAAAGCUAGCCUUAAGAGGCCUGAGUAUACUCAAUUAAACCUGUGUGGCUGUGUAUACACUAUACACCUAGCAUGUAGCAAUUAAUUAAGAGGGGAAACACUCAAGAGUGGAUAAAAAGGUGCAGUGAAUAUUUAGGUAAAAAGAGUUGCUAAUCACAAUGUAAAAAGUUGUGGAAAUAUAUGUAAUCAAAAGCUAGCAACUAACUUCAGGUUUUGAAAAGCAUCUUCUCCUUUGGAAUACUCAAAUUCCCAGAUGAAAAAAUAAAUUCUACCAUCCUAUGCCUCAGGAAGUACAUCUACACCAACCAACACAAAUGAUUAAAAAUGAAAAUAUAUGAUUUUGCAGAACCUCCAUUCUGACCCAGUUGCCCAUGCCAAGCGUGUCGGUAAGCAAGAACACAAGCAGGAGAAAUUAUGUUAUCAUAAUCAGGGAGUGGACGUGACGCAAGAGAACGUGGGCGUCACACGGAGCGACAACGUGCGGAGGAAGGUUGUCGUGGGCACCGGUCGGUCAUGGGGAAGAGGAAGGAAGAGGAGCAGCGAGCGUCAGCCAACCACGUGGAGGAACAUCACGUUCUCCAGCUCCGGUAGGCCGAUGUCGACAUCCUAGAGCUCAUGGUUGCCAAAGCGCUUGCACCACAACACCACUGACCUGAGCAUCGCCAUGGCCUCCUUCACCUUGUUCCUGUGCGCACGGAGGAACUUGAGCGGUAUCAUGUCCGUGCGCUCGUCGUCGCCCACCAGCGACACGCCUAAAUCAGCGCUGGUGGCCGCCUCGGGCUCAAACGAGGAGGUGACAACGGUCUCCUCAACAGCUGCUCGAAUAGCGUCAUCUUCCGGUAUCGCUGCAGAUGUCGCCGCCUCGCUCUACGCAGCCUUCCACCUCAAUAUCUCCUCUGCCCUCUCGCGUCCGCUCCUCGACCGCUUCAUCGUCGCCGGAAGGGAGCUAGGCAUUAUGCCUUUAUAGGGAGGAUCGACAUGACUGUUUUAGGAUCUGAAAUUUACGAGCUUUAUCUGCUAGCCAGGGAUGGGAUGACGAGAACGCCGUGGGUGGUUGUGAGCGCGACACGCAAUGGACGAGUGGAGAAUC
rnacentral:lncRNA from 1 species